rnacentral:rRNA from 1 species
GAUGAACGCUGGCGGCGUGCCUAAUACAUGCAAGUCGAGCGAACGGACGAGAAGCUUGCUUUUCUGAUGUUAGCGGCGGACGGGUGAGUAACACGUGGAUAACCUACCUAUAAGACUGGGAUAACUUCGGGAAACCGGAGCUAAUACCGAUAAUAUUUUGAACCGCAUGGUUCAAAAGUGAAAGACGGUCUUGCUGUCACUUAUAGAUGGAUCCGCGCUGCAUUAGCUAGUUGGUAAGGUAACGGCUUACCAAGGCAACGAUGCAUAGCCGACCCGAGAGGGUGAUCGGCCACACUGGAACUGAGACACGGUCCAGACUCCUACGGGAGGCAGCAGUAGGGAAUCUUCCGCAAUGGGCGAAAGCCUGACGGAGCAACGCCGCGUGAGUGAUGAAGGUCUUCGGAUCGUAAAACUCUGUUAUUAGGGAAGAACAUAUGUGUAAGUAACUGUGCACAUCUUGACGGUACCUAAUCAGAAAGCCACGGCUAACUACGUG